CUCAACUACCAGGAAUAAUCUCUAGUGACAAGCAGAGUGCUACAGCAGUUUUGCUCAUCUUUCUAAAGCACUCUUACACUCACUGCUUCGUUAACUGAAGGAUGUACUUUGCUGCAGAAUCACACUUAGAUGUUGGAUAAAACAAAGAAUCAUUGCACCAGCAAAGGAAAGCACUUGAACAAGUUGUGAUGCCUGAAGAAAACGUAUUUCAGCAGCAAGCUGUACACAGCCCCCUUGAGAAGCAGCAGGGGACCUCAAUAUUGUGCCACAACUGUGGGAAUGCCUGCAGAGGAGAAGUCCUUCGUGUGCAGAACAAGUACUUCCAUAUUAAGUGCUUUGUCUGCAAAGUUUGUGGAUGUGACUUGGGCCAGGGAGGCUUUUUUGUUCGACAAGGAGAAUAUAUUUGUACAUUGGACUAUCAAAGACUUUACGGAACACGAUGUUUCAGCUGUGAAGAAUUUAUUGAAGGGGAGGUUGUUUCAGCUCUGGGGAAGACUUAUCAUCCACGAUGCUUUGUUUGCGCUGUUUGCCGGCAGCCGUUUCCUCCUGGAGAUCGAGUAACCUUUAAUGGGAAAGAAUGCAUUUGCCAAAAAUGUACACCGCCUGUACCCCCUGGUGGCCCUGCCCCUCUUCAGGCAGUCCGAAAUUGUUGUGGCUGUGGAAAGGAAUUUCAAAAUGAACAGUCCUUAUUAGCUCUGGAUAAACACUGGCAUCUUGGAUGUUUUAAGUGUCGGGUUUGCAACAAGGUCCUGAAUGCAGAAUAUAUCAGCAAGGAUGGGAUUCCAUACUGUGAAACUGACUACCAUGCUAUCUUUGGCAUUCAAUGUGAACACUGCAAGAAGUAUAUUACUGGGAAAGUACUAGAGGCUGGUGACAAACAUUAUCACCCCACCUGUGCUAGAUGUGCCAAAUGUGACCUGAUGUUCAAAGAAGGAGAAGAGAUGUAUCUUCAAGGUUCUACUAUUUGGCAUCCUUUAUGUAGACAGUCUGCAAAAAGUGAAGAAAAACAUAAGAAGCAGGUGCGGAUACACUUCAGUGAUGAUAUCUCACAGGUAACAAGAACUUCUUCUGAAAGUAUCACUUCUGUGCCAGCAUCAAACACUUCAGGAUCUCCAAGCCGGAUCAUUUAUGCUAAACUUGGUGAUGAACUUCUUGACUACAGGGAUCUGGCUGCCCUUCCUAAAACAAAGGCCAUUUAUAAUAUUGAUCGUCCAGAUUUGCUCACCUACUCUCCAUAUAUCACUUACCCAUCUGAUGACAGGCAGAGCUUCGGGGAGUCACCCCAGCUGCUUUCUCCAACACCUACAGAGGGUGAUCAAGGUGACAAAUCACCACGGCAGCAACGAGCUUCCAGCCCAAGCUCAACAAGCUCUUUGGGAUACGGAAGGUAUACACCAACACGUUCACCUCAGAACUAUAGCAGACCAGAACUGCCCUCUACUGGCACCUGUUCAGUAAGCUCUGGCAACUACAGCUCACUUCCUCUCUAUACCAGCAACAUUUCUACGUUUCGACAUAACUAUGUCCCAUACUUUAAAGGCGGCAAGCAGGAUCCGAAUGAAACUAAGAUGCAGUUCCUCAGUUUGCCAAAUUACGGCAGUGAAAGUGGCCGGAGCACCCCCAGCUUAUCAGCAUAUUCAGACAGCAAAUCUCCCUCCUCCUCCUCCUCCUAUGUCCAAGCACCCAGGCACUUCCAUGUUCCAGAUACUAGGAGUAAAGAUAAUAUAUAUAGAAAGCCCCCUAUCUACAAACAGCAUGUGACAAGGACAUCGUGGCAAGAAGGUGACGAUUUGGAUCUGGACGGCAGAAAGAUGAAAACAAGCUGGCUUAUCCUAAAGAGUGAAAUGGAUGCUAAAAGUGAGGAAUUAGACCCCAGAACAUCAACUCAUAGUCUGCCUACUGACACAGCAGAGUCACGAUUUUCCUACACAAAGUCAGCUUCUCUUCCAGGCUAUGGUCGGAAUGGCAUCAAUAAGACAACCAAUUUAGCCCAGUAUGAAACAGACCACGAUUCAACAUGGGGCACACGAGAAUAUAAGGUAAGCAAAAGUAUUUCAAGAAAAGAAGAUCUGGUAUUGGCCAUCUGAAAAUCGAGAUAAGUUAUCUGGAACUUUAUGUUUAUCCCUAUGAAAUGUUAUCUGUGACAAACAGAGUCCGUGUUAAGUUGCCUAAGGAUGUGGACCGAACCAGGUUGGAGAGGCACUUGUCUCCAGAGGAGUUCUUUCAAGUUUUUGGAAUGACACUUGAAGAGUUUGAGCGCUUAGCUCUCUGGAAAAGGAAUGACCUGAAGAAAAACGCCCGACUGUUUUGAAUAACAUAAUUAAAUCUCCAUUUUCAACUUGCAUUUUGAAACUUAUAAGCCACUAAUCUUUCUAAUGGACCAUCCGCUUACAAUUUCAUUAUGACUGCAAUGUGGAAAAAGUUUAUCAGAAUUUAGUCAGGAUAAAUGACAUACCUGUUUUAGAAUUGCUUGCUGUUCUCUUUUUAAAUUUGAUUUAGGUCCUGGUUUUCAAUUAGUAUGCAUUUUAAUUAAUAAUAUCUCAUUAACUAAUUCACAAAUAAAGGCUAUUUUAAUGCUUUCUGAAGUAGGAGAGAGCAUUAUGUGUAUCUAAUGGCAUCUUACUUUGUUUCUUAAAAUAGAUGAGAAAGAAACUUAAAUCAGUAUAAAAGUAAAACACCCACAUAUAUCUGUAUAAUUGUUAUUUUGUAAGGCCAAAGAAUGACUAGAGUGCUAAUUAGUUUCUUAAUUAAUUUGUGUCUUGUGCAGUUACAACAUCUAUGAGGCAUCCAUUUCAGUUAAAUGUUUUGCAUGUAGUUGUGGGGAUUAACAAAUACAUUAAAUUAUAUAUUUUAUUUUGUAGCAAAAUAAUGAACACUGGCAUAUCUGUUACCUUCAAAUGAAAGUCAUGUAAAUAUAUUUGACAAGAAAUUGUGUAAAUAUAUUUUAACAUAUACAAUACGAUACAUUAUAUUUAGGUUUUAUGCAAGGAUGAUGUAUUUUUGUGCUUAUAUUGUUCAUUGGGAUGCAAUUAAAAAAAGGAAACGUUAUUUACAGGAAACGUAUUAUGUUGCUUACUAUGUACAUCAGUGAGCAAUUAUGCACAAAAAUGUGAGGAAUAUAAUAGUUUCUUAUUCAAUAUUUAUGUCUUUACAAGUAAAUUUCACCCCUUCUAUCAUGAUUGUUUAUAUAUUACUGCAUAUUUUACUUUUAAUAUGUAAUUUUAUGAUAAGUAGAACUUUCACUUACAGUCCUUUCAUAAAAAUUAGUAACUUUCAUCAUCACAUUCAUAGCUAAUUUUAUAAUCAAAAGGUCAGAGGAAGAAAAGAAUAGCAUUCUUAAAUCACAGUGAGUUCACCAGUGCAGAAGUCGAUGCUCCCAAGUACUAAAGCACUUAUUUCAUAAAAAUCUUUAUUUUGUGUUUGAGGUAUUAGGAAGCUCAGCAAUAACAUGUUUAAGGUGUAAUCUUUUUAUCUAGUAAGAACAACACUUUCCAAUGAAACACAGGCUAUAUGCCAAAGGUACUUUGUGGUAGAAUUAUUGAUAUUCAUGCCCAAUUUGGGGAUUGUCAUACAAUGGUUAUUUAAACUGGAUAUCUGUUGUUUCAUACCAGUUUUUUCUGAAUGCUUCUUGACAUCCUGUAGCUUGACUAAUCAGAAGUGACCUGUUCAUAAGAUAAUUGACCUGUUUCUGUAGGGAGUGCCUGCAUUCUGCUUAGGAGUCCUACAGAAACCCUGUGGAAUUGCAUGGGUGUUAGCAGCAUCAGUUAUUGCAUGCACUGUAUGAUAUUAUAGAUACAAAAAGACAAAUGCAUUGUUUUUGAAAUAAAUGUAGAGAUCGUUUCACCCAAUACUGUUACUUCUUAACCCCAAUGACCCUAAUUAACCCUAAUGACCCUUGCUCUUGGUGCAUAUAACACAGUCCACAUAGCUUUUCAGCCUUCCAUACGUGAGCUGUUUUGUGCAUUUUCAGCAAUACACAAAGCAAAUCACUUGCUUUUAUACUCUUUUUGUCUUUUUGAAACCUUGGCGAACAACUGCUGCUCUUGUUGCUGUUAUUAACAUUAAAGUAAAGACUCUACUAAGCCUUUGGGAAUGCUAGGAAUUCUAAAAUCCAUUUUGUUAUUUUUAGAAGGCGUUCUUGUAUUUUUCUUGCGACUGUGAUGUCAUUAAUAAUAACACAAAGUCAAAUGGCCUUUGAUUUCAGUAACCUUAUACACAUAUUUUUCUUUGUCUGUGGCUUAUUGAUUUUAUGUUUUUUCUUUAGUUCAUAAUGUAACAAAACUAGCUUCCUUUGUUUCCAAUAGCUUGUUCUGUUAAUAUAGGUUCUGAUAUGUUACUUAGGGUGCUCAGAAUGACAAUAGCACUAAAUAUGGUUUAACCUUAUAUCAUAUAAGUGAUGUCACAAAAAGUAUUUAAUACAAUCGAUCACACUUUCCAUAACAUGGAAACAGGAAUUUAAAGAGUUUUUAUUCCCUUGUAUGUGUGGCCCAAGCAAAUAAAAGGGUAAAAUAAUGCAUUCACUUUGUUACACUGUGAACCAACUUCCUUUUUAAGUACGGUAUGGACUGUUUUAAAAAAAUGAGCAGCAUUCAUAUAUCCUUGAUCCUUUUUGUAAUUAUAACAUUAUUUCAGGGUGUGCUUUUGCUGUUUUUAAUAAUGCAUUGCUUCAAAAAAGUGGCUUUCACAUUUCCACAUCAUUAAGAGUUUGACCAGACUGUAGCAUAUUAGAUUAAGGAGACUGUGGAAGAUUGUGGGUUCGCUUCCCGGUUCCUCCCUGUGUGGAUAGCGCUUUGAGUACUGAGAAAAGCGCUAUAUAAAUGUAAUGAAUUAUUAUUAUUAUUAUUAUUAUUAGAUUAGAUUUGAUGCUCUUGGCUGGAAUAAAAACAUUUUAUUUUGCAAUGGAUAGCCUAUAGAGUAUUAUAAAAAGAACCUCCUUAUAAUUUUGUUGUGUUACCAAAUUGAAUUUAAAAUUCAGAUUGUUGCCAUAGAUCCAUGCAAAAAACAAAGGUUUAACAUUAAAAUGAAAAUUAAACACUAAGUAGAAAAUACAUUUUAAAAGCCUUAAACUGCGCUUCAGUCAAUAGUUUGACAGAAGCCCCUUAAUCUGAAAUUAAAGCCGUGAGUCUUAACAGUUUUUUCCUUUGUUUUUUGUGAAAUCACCUUUUCCUUUUCAACUUGAAUGGAGACCAUGGAGAACAGUACUCUUCAUCUCCUGCUGUGCUGUACUUCUUUUGAAUAAGUCAACCUGAGGCUCUGAAUGUUUUUGUUUGUAAACUACUCCAUUGUGGCGUUAGAUUUAUGGUGUGAGGUGUUCUCUGUUGGAACAUAAAUCAUCACACAAGGUUUCAGGUCUUCCUUAAACUACAGCAGGUUUUCUUCCUGAAUUUCCCUACUCCAUCCAUUUUGACUUCUGUCUUCACAUGUCUUCCAGGCCUUAAUACAAAGAAGCUUCUUAAUAAGGUUAGUUUUGGUCUUGUCAGAUCACAUACUCAUCUUCCAGUCACAUUUGUGACAGAUUUUCUUCCUUUCCGUUCCUUUUAAAGCCUUGACAAUGCUUUGGUGCCUUGCAGAUUUUCUUGUGUCCCUCCCAUCACUGGUGAUUUUCAAUAACCUUAUCCUGUAUGCACUUUGAAUGUUAAUUUGUCUUGUCUAAUAAUAGUUGCGUACAAAUCUGAGCUCACUGCAUACUUGUCAACAACAACAACAAUUUCUACAGCACAUUUUCAUUUAAAGGAUGUAGCUCAAAAGUGCUUUACAACAUGUCAAAGAAGUAGUUACAUGCAAUGAAAAACAAAUUAAAAUUGGAUAAGAAAAAUAAUAAAUACAUACAGUAGCAUACAAAAUAAAUAAUGCAUACUUAAUUAAGAGAAAUAGAAUACAUAAUUGUCUUUUUUUAAAGUCUCUAAAUGAUAAGGACGGUUGGCCGGGAUGGAGAGAGAAAUAAAAAUAACUCCAGAUAAAUUUGAGAAAAAAACAAAAUCUGCAGGGGCUCCAGGCCAAAAGACCAUCCAGCCCGUGCCUGGCGUUAUGCCUAACAUAAAUGUUCUUAAGUAGUUUGUAAGGCUUUGUCUUAAAGGAUUUGACACAGUGGGUCUCUUGGCAGGUUGGGGAAUCCGCUUUCAUUUAAACAUCGCUGACCCCGUGCAACUAUUUUUGUGAUUUCUAAAGUCAGCUGGUUGCACUAGAGUUUAUUUAGAUGGAUUGUACCAAAUCAAGCAAAUACUUACGGAGUCAGGGGUGUUCUGUUUUAAUUUAUAAUUAAUUCCAAGCAUCAUUUAAAUCUAUUACAGUGUACUAUGUGCAUGUUAUGGAAGUAGUCAAAUGAUUUACAGUGUUCUGUGUUAUACAAACUUUUCAGAAAGCAAAUUCCGUCAAAACCAACUGCACUACAAGAUUAAACAAAGAUCCAGUUAAACAAAAAUCAGUGUGCAAUUUUGGUUUUCAUACAAGUUCACCACAGUACUCCACUGUCACCUCAUAGGUGUGAUAGCUGCCUUAUUACAUGUAUAAUUUGGCUACAAUUUUUAACAGUGUCACAAAAUAACAACAGUUUUUAAGCAGUGCAUAGUCUUAGGUAUUAUCAAAAAUUCCUUUGACAGUAAAAAUAAGAUAAAUGUGAUGUCUACAAUCUGGUGGUCAUUGUAGAUAAUAGAGGUACACUACAAUAGAUUCUGUGUUGGUGCUUGGUUAGUCUUCUCCAAAGGUAUCUAAUCGUAUGGAUUAGUGGUACUGAGGUUUGGAUUUUCUGUGUUUCAAGGCCCUGACAUAUGUCUCUAGAGGUGUAUUUGAUGAGGCAACUCUGCUCGAGUAUUCCAGUACCAGCAGAAGGUAGUCACUGGCAUUUCUUCAGAUGUCCACAUUCUUUCACUAAUUGUAUAAGUUUAUGUCCCUAACUUGUUUAAACCAAAACAAUCUGACAAUUUUAAAUCACCUUUUUAUUGUUUUAACCAUUUACUGUAUAUCAAUACCUCUUACGAGCAUCCCCUUCAGCACCAUUAGCACCACUUACCACCCGUGUGGUGUCACCCUGUGCAAGUCACUUGAUUUUGCUGCAGUUAUAAAUAAAAAACAAAUGACUGCAUAUAAUGUAUAUAUAAUCAUUUGUUUUACAGCUCUAGGAUCGUGUUCACUAUAGGAAAUAAUUUGCUUGUUUUAGUUUCCUGUAAUUGUGACAAGAAUAAGUAUAACAUGUAAUAUGUGUACAGUCUUAAAAGAUCUGUGAAGUUAGAA